rfam:Gossypium arboreum cultivar AKA8401 contig_88360_1, whole genome shotgun sequence.
UUAACGGCGCUUUUAAGUGCCACUAAAACUAUUUACGAUGUUUUU